AUUGAACGCUGGCGGCAUGCCUUACACAUGCAAAUCGAACGGUAACGCGAGGCAACCUGGCGACGAGUGGCGAACGGGUGAGUAAUGCAUCGGAACGUGCCCAGUAGUGGGGGAUAGCCCGGCGAAAGCCGGAUUAAUACCGCAUACGACCUACGGGUGAAAGGGGGGGAUCGCAAGACCUCUCGCUAUUGGAGCGGCCGAUGUCAGAUUAGGUAGUUGGUGGGGUAAAGGCCUACCAAGCCUACGAUCUGUAGCUGGUCUGAGAGGACGACCAGCCACACUGGGACUGAGACACGGCCCAGACUCCGACGGGAGGCAGCAGUGGGGAAUUUUGGACAAUGGGCGCAAGCCUGAUCCAGCCAUGCCGCGUGCGGGAAGAAGGCCUUCGGGUUGUAAACCGCUUUUGUCGGGGAAGAAAUCUUCUGGGCUAAUGCCUCGGGAGGAUGACGGUACCCGAAGAAUAAGCACCGGCUAACUACGUGCCAGCAGCCGCGGUAA
rnacentral:rRNA from 1 species